rnacentral:sRNA from 1 species
UUUUUAACAACUAGGGUCAUUAACGACCAC